rnacentral:rRNA from 1 species
GAGCCGGAGGGAAACCGAGUCUUAACCGGGCGUUAAGUUGCAGGGUAUAGACCCGAAACCCGGUGAUCUAGCCAUGGGCAGGUUGAAGGUUGGGUAACACUAACUGGAGGACCGAACCGACUAAUGUUGAAAAAUUAGCGGAUGACCUGUGGCUGGGGGUGAAAGGCCAAUCAAACCGGGAGAUAGCUGGUUCUCCCCGAAAGCUAUUUAGGUAGCGCCUCGUGAAUUCAUCUCCGGGGGUAGAGCACUGUUUCGGCUAGGGGGCCAUCCCGGCUUACCAACCCGAUGCAAACUGCGAAUACCGGAGAAUGUUAUCACGGGAGACACACGGCGGGUGCUAACGUCCGUCGUGAAGAGGGAAACAACCCAGACCGCCAGCUAAGGUCCCAAAGUCAUGGUUAAGUGGGAAACGAUGUGGGAAGGCCCAGACAGCCAGGAUGUUGGCUUAGAAGCAGCCAUCAUUUAAAGAAAGCGUAAUAGCUCACUGGUCGAGUCGGCCUGCGCGGAAGAUGUAACGGGGCUAAACCAUGCACCGAAGCUGCGGCAGCGAACGUAUCACCCAAGACAACUUUACGGAGUUGACGAUUGACGGAGCGAAGCGACGUCAAAGCGUUCAUUAAAGUCGAGUUGGCUUAGGGAUACGUUCGUUGGGUAGGGGAGCGUUCUGUAAGCCUGUGAAGGUGUGUCGUGAGGCAUGCUGGAGGUAUCAGAAGUGCGAAUGCUGACAUAAGUAACGAUAAAGCGGGUGAAAAGCCCGCUCGCCGGAAGACCAAGGGUUCCUGUCCAACGUUAAUCGGGGCAGGGUGAGUCGACCCCUAAGGCGAGGCCGAAAGGCGUAGUCGAUGGGAAACGGGUUAAUAUUCCCGUACUUGGUGUUACUGCGAAGGGGGGACGGAGAAGGCUAUGUUGGCCGGGCGACGGUUGUCCCGGUUUAAGCGUGUAGGUGUGUGUUCCAGGUAAAUCCGGUUCACUUUAACACUGAGGCGUGACGACGAGGCACUACGGUGCUGAAGCAACAAAUGCCCUGCUUCCAGGAAAAGCCUCUAAGCAUCAGGUAACAUCAAAUCGUACCCCAAACCGACACAGGUGGUCAGGUAGAGAAUACCAAGGCGCUUGAGAGAACUCGGGUGAAGGAACUAGGCAAAAUGGUGCCGUAACUUCGGGAGAAGGCACGCUGACACGUAGGUGAAGUGAUUUACUCAUGGAGCUGAAGUCAGUCGAAGAUACCAGCUGGCUGCAACUGUUUAUUAAAAACACAGCACUGUGCAAACACGAAAGUGGACGUAUACGGUGUGACGCCUGCCCGGUGCCGGAAGGUUAAUUGAUGGGGUCAGCGCAAGCGAAGCUCCUGAUCGAAGCCCCGGUAAACGGCGGCCGUAACUAUAACGGUCCUAAGGUAGCGAAAUUCCUUGUCGGGUAAGUUCCGACCUGCACGAAUGGCGUAAUGAUGGCCAGGCUGUCUCCACCCGAGACUCAGUGAAAUUGAACUCGCUGUGAAGAUGCAGUGUACCCGCGGCAAGACGGAAAGACCCCGUGAACCUUUACUAUAGCUUGACACUGAACAUUGAGCCUUGAUGUGUAGGAUAGGUGGGAGGCUUUGAAGUGUGGACGCCAGUCUGCAUGGAGCCGACCUUGAAAUACCACCCUUUAAUGUUUGAUGUUCUAACGUGGACCCGUAAUCCGGGUUGCGGACAGUGUCUGGUGGGUAGUUUGACUGGGGCGGUCUCCUCCUAAAGAGUAACGGAGGAGCACGAAGGUUGGCUAAUCCUGGUCGGACAUCAGGAGGUUAGUGCAAUGGCAUAAGCCAGCUUGACUGCGAGCGUGACGGCGCGAGCAGGUGCGAAAGCAGGUCAUAGUGAUCCGGUGGUUCUGAAUGGAAGGGCCAUCGCUCAACGGAUAAAAGGUACUCCGGGGAUAACAGGCUGAUACCGCCCAAGAGUUCAUAUCGACGGCGGUGUUUGGCACCUCGAUGUCGGCUCAUCACAUCCUGGGGCUGAAGUAGGUCCCAAGGGUAUGGCUGUUCGCCAUUUAAAGUGGUACGCGAGCUGGGUUUAGAACGUCGUGAGACAGUUCGGUCCCUAUCUGCCGUGGGCGCUGGAGAACUGAGGGGGGCUGCUCCUAGUACGAGAGGACCGGAGUGGACGCAUCACUGGUGUUCGGGUUGUCAUGCCAAUGGCACUGCCCGGUAGCUAAAUGCGGAAGAGAUAAGUGCUGAAAGCAUCUAAGCACGAAACUUGCCCCGAGAUGAGUUCUCCCUGAGACUUAGAGUCUCCUGAAGGAACGUUGAAGACGACGACGUUGAUAGGCCGGGUGUGUAAGCGCAGCGAUGCGUUGAGCUAACCGGUACUAAUGAACCGUGAGGCUUAACCUU